AAGUAAUACAUACAGGAUUAAUCCAGUCUAUCCAGUCUCUAUCUGCUGUAUCUGUACAGUAGUCCAAUAUGAAUUACUCUGUCCGCGUGUGCCAGGGUGCAUGUGAGUGUGCGUGUGCCAGGCCGCGUGUGAGGUUACGUGUGCUGACGUGUUGUGUUCUGAGAGUGCGUGUGAGGUCACGUGUGCUGACGUGUGUUGUGUUGUGAGAGUGCGCGUGUGAGGUCACGUGUGCUGACGUGUUUGUGUUGUGAGAGUGCGCGUGUAAGGUUACGUGUGCUGACAUAUUGUGUUCUGAGAGUGCGUGUGAGGUUACGUGUGCUGACGUGUUUUGUGUUGUGAGAGUGCGCGUGUGAGGUUACGUGUGCUGACGUGUGUUGUGUUGUGAGAGUGCGCUUGUGAGGUUACGUGUGCUGACGUAUUGUGUUCUGAGAGUGCGUGUGAGGUCACGUGUGCUGACGUGUGUUGUGUUGUGAGAGUGCGUGUGAGGUCACGUGUGCUGACGUGUGUUGUGUUCUGAGAGUGCG